UACAGGGGGUGCAAACGUUGCUCGGAAUCAUUGGGCGUAAAGCGCACGUAGGCGGUCUGUUAUGUCGGAUGUGAAAGCCCUUGGCUUAACUGAGGAAGUGCAUCCGAAACUGGCAGGCUAGAGUACUAAAGAGGGUCGUGGGAUUCCCGGUGUAGUGGUGAAAUGCGUAGAUAUCGGGAGGAACACCAGUGGCGAAGGCGACUACCUGGCCUGUUCUUGACGCUGAGGCGCGAAAGCUAGGGGAGCAAACGGG
rnacentral:rRNA from 1 species